UGCCUAGGGUAAAACUGGUAACUAGGGCUAAGUCGUAACAAGGUAGCCGUACCGGAAGGUGCGGCUGGAACACCUCCUUU
rnacentral:rRNA from 1 species